rnacentral:rRNA from 1 species
UACGUAGGGUGCUAGCGUUGUCCGGAAUUAUUGGGCGUAAAGAGCUUGUAGGUGGCUCGUCGCGUCGGGAGUGAAAACCCACGGCUUAACCGCGGGCCUGCUUUCGAUACGGGCGGGCUAGAGUUCGGCAGGGGAGACUGGAAUUCCUGGUGUAGCGGUGGAAUGCGCAGAUAUCAGGAGGAACACCGGUGGCGAAGGCGGGUCUCUGGGCCGAUACUGACACUGAGAAGCGAAAGCGUGGGGAGCGAACAGG